rnacentral:rRNA from 1 species
UACGUAGGGGGCAAGCGUUGUCCGGAAUUACUGGGCGUAAAGGGUGCGUAGGCGGCCUAAUAAGUCAGAUGUGAAAUACCGAGGCUCAACCUCGGAGGUGCAUUUGAAACUGUUGGGCUUGAGUGCAGGAGAGGAAAGUGGAAUUCCUAGUGUAGCGGUGAAAUGCGUAGAGAUUAGGAGGAACACCAGUGGCGAAGGCGACUUUCUGGACUGUAACUGACGCUGAGGCACGAAAGCGUGGGGAGCAAACAGG